AGAAUCAACGCUGGCGGCGUGCCUAACACAUGCAAGUCGCACGAGAAAGCGGACUUCGGUCUGUGAGUAAAGUGGCGCACGGGUGAGUAACACGUGAAUGAUCUACCUCCGAGUGGGGAAUAACUGAGAGAAAUCUUAGCUAAUACCGCAUAACACUUAUGAGUCAAAGCAGCAAUGCGCUUGGAGAGGAGUUCGCGGCAGAUUAGUUAGUUGGCGGGGUAAUGGCCCACCAAGACAAUGAUCUGUA
rnacentral:rRNA from 1 species